UGGAGCGUGUUCCCCACUUUGGUGGCAUGCUGCUGUCCAUACUUCUAGUUACCUGCCUAAUGCUGGGCACAGAGCAUCAGGCGUGCCUCUGUUAUCACCUGUGUGUGCUGCCAACUUCAUUUCUAGUCAGACCACACUGAGAUGAUUUUUUUUUUUCUCCUAUAAGAGAUGCACCCCUAUUAAUCUCCUUUUAUUGGGAGCAUUUCUUCUUCCAUUCAUUUGCCACACAACUAAAGAGAAGGCUGAAUCAGUCACAUGAAACUUUGCAGGGUAAUACUUGGCAAUUCAGUUUAAACUUCUCUUUCAGCAAUCAAAUGGGAUGGACAAAAUAUUCUUUAAUAGACAAUGAACUUCAAACCGUAGGAAGAUUGCCUUCUAAAAUUCUUCAAGUGGACUUAAAGACAAAUGGCAGACUAAAUAAACAGACAGCAUGGGUGUCACUUGAA